rnacentral:rRNA from 1 species
UACAUAGGUGGCAAGCGUUAUCCGGAUUUAUUGGGCGUAAAGCGUGCGCAGGCGGUGAUGUAAGACAGUUGUGAAAUCCCCGGGCUCAACCUGGGAACUGCAUCUGUGACUGCAUCGCUGGAGUGCGGCAGAGGGGGAUGGAAUUCCGCGUGUAGCAGUGAAAUGCGUAGAUAUGCGGAGGAACACCGAUGGCGAAGGCAAUCCCCUGGGCCUGCACUGACGCUCAUGCACGAAAGCGUGGGGAGCAAACAGG